rnacentral:rRNA from 1 species
GGAAUAUUGCGCAAUGGGGGAAACCCUGACGCAGCGACGCCGCGUGGGUGAGGAAGGCUUUCGGGUCGUAAAACCCUGUCAGAUGGGAAGAAAUGCAUGAGAGUUAAUACCCCUCAUGUUUGACGGUACCAUCAAAGGAAGCACCGGCUAACUCCGUGCCAGCAGCCGCGGUAAUACGGAGGGUGCAAGCGUUGUUCGGAAUCACUGGGCGUAAAGGGCGCGCAGGCGGCUUGGCAAGUCAGAUGUGAAAGCCCACGGCUUAACCGUGGAAGUGCAUUUGAAACUGCCUGGCUUGAGUAUCAGAGGGGAAAGUGGAAUUCCCGGUGUAGAGGUGAAAUUCGUAGAUAUCGGGAGGAAUACCGGUGGCGAAGGCGACUUUCUGGCUGAAUACUGACGCUGAGGCGCGAAAGCGUGGGGAGCAAACAGGAUUA